CAUCCCUGUGAUGAAUGAUUUGAAAAUUAAAAGUAGUGGACUGAUCUUCACUGAUGUGAAACCUACCCUGAGGGAUG